rnacentral:rRNA from 1 species
GAUGAACGCUGGCGGCGUGCUUAAUACAUGCAAGUCGAGCGAACAGACGAGGAGCUUGCUCCUCUGACGUUAGCGGCGGACGGGUGAGUAACACGUGGAUAACCUACCUAUAAGACUGGGAUAACUUCGGGAAACCGGAGCUAAUACCGGAUAAUAUAUUGAACCGCAUGGUUCAAUAGUGAAAGACGGUUUUGCUGUCACUUAUAGAUGGAUCCGCGCCGCAUUAGCUAGUUGGUAAGGUAACGGCUUACCAAGGCAACGAUGCGUAGCCGACCUGAGAGGGUGAUCGGCCACACUGGAACUGAGACACGGUCCAGACUCCUACGGGAGGCAGCAGUAGGGAAUCUUCCGCAUUGGGCGAAAGCCUGACGGAGCAACGCCGCGUGAGUGAUGAAGGUCUUCGGAUCGUAAAACUCUGUUAUUAGGGAAGAACAAAUGUGUAAGUAACUAUGCACGUCUUGACGGUACCUAAUCAGAAAGCCACGGCUAACUACGUG